ACCGCUGUAAGGCCGUAACCUUGAGAAGGGACAGCAUUCAAUAACCCUGGCUUCAGAUGCCUUCUUGAAUGUCUCAUUCUCCUGAGCAAGAGCAAUGGUGAUAGAUCUCAUCUCUGGUGGCGAGAGAGGGAAGCAAGGAGAGAUCUCCUUCUGAUACUCACAGGCCAGAUCCCACUGUAGCUGAGCUACUGUCACUGAAAUCACCGAAUCCCGUUCCCUCUGUAAGGAACACCCCUGGGAAUUAUCCAUGGUGUGAAGGUGAAACACCGAAUUUAAGGCAUCCCCUGAGGGAAUUCUGCUUUCUCUUCGUCACCACUGAGGGAGCUCCAUGUCAAAGCCUGGAGGAUCCAGGGAUUCCAUUUGAAAGUUUCAGGGUUUGCCUCUGCAGAUCAGAAGAAAUUAGACAUGUCUGAGCAAUGUGAAUGAAAAAAGUGAAGGCUUGGUGUAGUCAAAAAGCUGCAUAAACAACCUAAAACCAAACAGAAAGCCCUAAGGGAACCCCUGCAGGCUGCAUUCUAUUUUUAACAAA